rnacentral:lncRNA from 1 species
AAAUUAAAGAAGGAUGUGAAGGUUAGGCUAAGAAGUGUGAUGAGCUUUAUUUAGGUAAUAGGCAAUGAGGAGAAAUUGAAACAUGAAGGAACAUAAUUUGAGGUGUGAUUAUUUGAGUUUUUAAAAUAUUAUCACUGUGCAUCAGAAUGGGUUAGGGAAGGCUUAAAUCCUGGAUGCUGGCUCAGCACCUAUUAGAGCAAUUAAAAUGAGAAAUGAUGCAGACUAAACUAGAAUUUCAGGUAAAAAUAGGAAAAAUAUGGUAUACGCGUUAAAAAAUGGUAUAGGCGUUAAAAAACUACACUUGACUGAGUUAGAAUAUGGAGGAAAAGGAAGUAUGGAGAUCAGAAGAAAACAUCAGGAUUUGGGAGCUUGGACACAGGUACUGAAUAUGCAAGCAAAGGCGGAUCUGAAAUCCAGUAUCCAGGAUGUGAAAUCUGCCUUUAGAGAGUUGACUUUUCUUAUCUGCGCUUCCACAGGGCCAGCUGUGAGAAUUAUGAGGGGAUUUUGGUUUCUGC